UACGUAGGGUGCGAGCGUUGUCCGGAAUUAUUGGGCGUAAAGGGCUCGUAGGCGGUUUGUCGCGUCGGGAGUGAAAUCCACUGGCUUAACUGGUGGCUUGCUUUCGAUACGGGCAGACUGGAGGUAUGCAGGGGAGAACGGAAUUCCUGGUGUAGCGGUGAAAUGCGCAGAUAUCGUAAGGAAGACCAGUGGCGAAGGCGGGUCUCUGGACAGUUCCUGACGCUGAGGCACGAAGGCCAGGGGAGCAAACGGG
rnacentral:rRNA from 1 species